AGGACAAACGCUGGCGGCGUGCCUAAAACAUGCAAGUCGUACGGUCCUUCGGGACAGUGGCGAACGGCUGAGUAACACGUGGGUAACCUACCCUCGAGUGGGGGAUAACCCUCCGAAAGGAGGGCUAAUACCGCGUACGAUCGUUCCACCCUGGUGGAACGAUGAAAGCAGUAAUGCGCUCGGGGAUGGGCCUGCGUCCGAUUAGCUAGUUGGUGAGGUGACGGCCCACCAAGGCUUCGAUCGGUAGCUGGUCUGAGAGGAUGAUCAGCCAGACUGGGACUGUGACACGGCCCAGACUCCGUACGGGAGCAGCAGUUAGGAAUUUGGGCAAUGGGCGAAAGCCUGACCCAGCAACGCCGCGUGGGUGACGAAGGCCUUCGGGUACGUAACGCCUUUUCCGACGGAAGAUAAGUGACGGUACCGGUAGGAACUAACGCCCCGGACUAACCGUACGUCGCCGGCGACGCCGUAC
rnacentral:rRNA from 1 species